rnacentral:rRNA from 3 species
UGCAAGUCGAACGGUAACAGGAAGCAGCUUGCUGCUUUGCUGACGAGUGGCGGACGGGUGAGUAAUGUCUGGGAAACUGCCUGAUGGAGGGGGAUAACUACUGGAAACGGUGGCUAAUACCGCAUAAUGUCGCAAGACCAAAGAGGGGGACCUUCGGGCCUCUUGCCAUCAGAUGUGCCCAGAUGGGAUUAGCUUGUUGGUGAGGUAACGGCUCACCAAGGCGACGAUCCCUAGCUGGUCUGAGAGGAUGACCAG